CUUUGCAAUUUGAUUAUGAAUGACCAUCUUGACGGUUUGAAUAUGCAAUGGCCCUCUUGGCAGUUUGAAUAUAAAUGCCCCUCUUGGCAUUUUGAUAUGCAAUGACCCUUUUGUCAAUUUAAAUAUGAAUGGCCCUCUCGGCAAUUUGAAUAUGCAAUGGCCCUCUAGGCAGUUUGAAUAUGCAAUGGCCCUCUUGGCAGCUUGAAUAUGCA
rnacentral:lncRNA from 1 species